rnacentral:rRNA from 1 species
GUCCACGCCCUAACGAUGACGACUACUUGUUGGGUAGAAGUACCUUAGUAACGCAGCUAACGCGUGAAGUCGUCCGCCUGGGAGUACGGUCGCAAGAUUAAAACUCAAAGGAAUUGACGGGCCCGCACAAGCGGUGGAUGAUGUGGAUUAAUUCGAUGCAACGCGAAAACCUUACCCGGGCUCGAAAAUGCACGAACCUGGCUGAAAAGGCCGGGGUGCUCGCAAAGAGAGCGUGUAUCAGGUGCUGCAUGGCUGUCGU